rnacentral:rRNA from 1 species
GAGACUCUGUGCGCGUGCAUAUCAAUAAGCGGAGGAAAAGAAACUAACUAAGGAUUCCCUCAGUAACGGCGAGUGAAGCGGGAAGAGCUCAAAUUUGAAAUCUUCAAGGUUCUACCUUGACGAAUUGUAGUUUAAAGAAGUGUUUUCUGUUGAAGUUUUGGUAAAAGUUCUUUGGAAUAGGACAUCAUAGAGGGUGAGAAUCCCGUAUUUGACCAUUAUUUCCAGCUGUGUGAUACACUUUCAAAGAGUCGGAUUGUUUGGGAAUGCAGUCCAAAAUGGGUGGUAAAUCUCAUCUAAAGCUAAAUAUUGGCGAGAGACCGAUAGCGAACAAGUACCGUGAGGGAAAGAUGAAAAGAACUUUGAAAAGAGAGUUAAACAGUACGUGAAAUUGUCAAAAGGGAAGCGUUUGACACCAGUGUUGUUUUCUCGAAAAUCAAUUAAAAAAAGUUGGAUUUUGUGUUGUAUUGACCUUAACAGCUUGCUUCACUCUUUUCCUGCUUUUUUUAAUGCACUUUUCGUUUAACAAGUCAACAUCAGUUUCUUUUGUUGUAAAAGGGUAUGAGGAAGGUGGCUUUCUUUCGGAGAAAGUGUUUAUAGCCCUGAUACUUCUAGCAAUCGGAGAGAUUGAGGUCUGCAGCGUAGAUCCUUCGGGGUUAGAUACAUUUGUGCUAAGUUGUAGCUUUUCAUAGACAACUUGUUGACUAUGUUUAGUCAUGCGGCUUACUCGCUUAGUGCUAUUUUACCUACGCUUAGGAUGUUGACUGAUAUGUAGUCGUA